rnacentral:rRNA from 1 species
UACGAAGGGGGCUAGCGUUGCUCGGAAUCACUGGGCGUAAAGGGUGCGUAGGCGGGUCUUUAAGUCAGGGGUGAAAUCCUGGAGCUCAACUCCAGAACUGCCUUUGAUACUGAGGAUCUUGAGUCCGGGAGAGGUGAGUGGAACUGCGAGUGUAGAGGUGAAAUUCGUAGAUAUUCGCAAGAACACCAGUGGCGAAGGCGGCUCACUGGCCCGGUACUGACGCUGAUGCGCGAAAGCGUGGGGAGCAAACAGG